GACGAACGCUGGCGGCGUGCCUAAUACAUGCAAGUCGAACGCAGUGGGGCCGGGUGAGUAACACGUGGGUAACCUCCCAUCAGAGGGGAUAACACUUGGACACAGGUGCUAAACCGAUACUGAUGGAUGGACCCGCGGUGCAUUAGCUAUUGGGUGAGGUAACGGCUCACCAAGGCCACGAUGUAUAUCCGACCAGAGAGUGUGAUCGGCCACACUGGGACUGAGACACGGCCCAGACUCCUACGGGAGGCAGCAGUAGUGAAUCUACGGCAAUGGACGAAAGUCUGACCGAUCAACGCCGCGUGAGUGAAGAAGGUUUUCGGAGCAUAAAACUCUGUUGUUAUAGAAGCGGUAUCUAACCAGAAAGCAACGGCUAACUACGUGCCAGCAGCCGCGGUAAUAC
rnacentral:rRNA from 1 species